rnacentral:rRNA from 1 species
UAGAGGAAGUAAAAGUCGUAACAAGGUUUCCGUAGGUGAACCUGCGGAAGGAUCAUUACCGAAUUGUCAAACGGGUUGUUGCUGGUCCUUGAAAGGGGACAUGUGCACGCUCUGUUUACACAUCCACUCACACCUGUGCACCCUCCGUAGUUCUAUGGUCUGGGAGACCUUGUCUUCCUGCCGUGGUUCUACGUCUUUACACACACACUGUAACAAAGUCUUAAGGAAUGUAUGCAGCGUCUAACGCAAUACAAUACAACUUUCAGCAACGGAUCUCUUGGCUCUCGCAUCGAUGAAGAACGCAGCGAAAUGCGAUAAGUAAUGUGAAUUGCAGAAUUCAGUGAAUCAUCGAAUCUUUGAACGCACCUUGCGCCCCUUGGCUAUUCCGAGGGGCAUGCCUGUUUGAGUAUCAUGAACACCUCAACUCUCAUGGUUCGCCGUGAUGAGCUUGGACUCUGGGGGAUUUGCUGGCCUGCGGUCAGCUCCCCUCAAAUGAAUCAGCCUCCCAGUGUUUGGUGGCAUCACGGGUGUGAUAAAUAUCUACGCUCGUGGUUGCCUGCCAGGUAACCUUUGGUGACAAAGGUUUGCUGGAGCUUACAGAUGUCUCUCCUCAGCGAGGACAGCUUUUUGGACGUUCGAUCUCAAAUCAGGUAGGACUACCCGCUGAACUUAAGCAUAUCAAUAA